rnacentral:rRNA from 1 species
UGAGCAACCUGCCCCUGGCUCUGGGAUAACCCCGGGAAACCGGAGCUAAUACCGGAUACGAGACCGAUUGGCAUCUUUACGGUCUGGAAAGUUUUUCGGCCAGGGAUGGGCUCGCGGCCUAUCGGCUUGUUGGUGAGGUAAUGGCCCACCAAGGCGACGACGGGUAGCCGGCCUGAGAGGGCGACCGGCCACACUGGGACUGAGAUACGGCCCAGACUCCUACGGGAGGCA